rnacentral:lncRNA from 1 species
CCUCAGGCGGAUUCCAGGCCCAGCUCAUCUCCUGCAGCCCUCGCCCUUCUCUGUCCCAGGUCCGAUGUGCUAUGAAUCCAUGAAUCUGUGCUCCAUUUCAUCCCGAUCUCUCCAGAACCCUAAGGACCAGGGAAUUUGGGGCUGUGCUAAGAACCAGACCUGGGUUCUCAGAUAGGAGGCACACAGUACAGCUCUGCGCUCCCACGGCUCCCUGACUCACCUUCUGAUCGCCGUCCCUGGCCCUCCGAUCCACCUCCCUAGUGGCCAGCGAGAUAGGCCUGAAGCACAGCUCCGCCCACACGCUCUGGCCUGAUCCAGGAAACAGGGUCAGCGACCACCUUCGGAAGCCCCUCUGCCCUGCGCUGCGGCUCACCUUCACCUCCGUCUACUGGACAGCUCCUAACGAGUCCUUCCCUCCCCCCACCUUCCCCGAAGCUCAGGCCUGACUGUGGCGCUGCUGUGCCCCAUGACACCCUGCAGCUUCCUACUCCUUCUAGUUUCUGGAGCACAACAGACGUUAAUAAA